UACGUAGGGAGCAAGCGUUGUCCGGAAUCAUUGGGCGUAAAGCGCGCGUAGGUGGCUUCGUAAGUCCGUUGUGAAAGUCAAAGGCUCAACCUUUGAAAGCCGAUGGAUACUGCGGAGCUAGAGUACGGAAGAGGCGAGUGGAAUUCCUGGUGUAGCGGUGGAAUGCGCAGAUAUCGAGGAGGAACACCAAUAGCGAAGGCAGCUCGCUGGGACGUUACUGACACUGAGGCGCGAAAGCGUGGGGAGCGAACAGG
rnacentral:rRNA from 1 species